CCAAUAGCGUAUAUUAAAGUUGCUGCAGUUAAAAAGCUCGUAGUUGAAUUUCGGGACCAAUAUGUUGGUCGUGCUUUUGUACGUACUGAUAUAAUUGGUUUCUCCCUUCUGAAGAACCUUGAUGUCAUUAAUUUGGUGUCUUGGGGAAUCAGGACUGUUACUUUGAAAAAAUUAGAGUGUUUAAAGCAGGCUCGCGCUUGAAUACAUUAGCAUGGAAUAAUGAAAUAGGACGUUUGAUUCUAUUUUGUUGGUUUCUAGGAUCGACGUAAUGAUUAAUAGGGAUAGUUGGGGGCAUUAGUAUUCAAUUGUCAGAGGUGAAAUUCUUGGAUUUAUUGAAGACUAACUACUGCGAAAGCAUUUGCCAAGGAUGUUUUCAUUAAUCAAGAACGAAAGUUAGGGGAUCGAAGACGAUCAGAUACCGUCGUAGUCUUAACCAUAAACUAUGCCGACUAGGGAUCGGAUGAUGUUAAUUUUUUAAUGACUCAUUCGGCGCCUUACG
rnacentral:ncRNA from 2 species